rnacentral:rRNA from 1 species
UAGCAAUACAAGGCAUACGGCUCAGUAACGCGUAGUCAACCUAACCUAUGGACGGGAAUAACCUCGGGAAACUGAGAAUAAUGCCCGAUAGAACAUUAUGCCUGGAAUGGUUUAUGUUCCAAAUGAUUUAUCGCCGUAGGAUGGGACUGCGGCCUAUCAGUUUGUUGGUGAGGUAAUGGCCCACCAAGACUAUUACAGGUACGGGCUCUGAGAGGAGUAGCCCGGAGAUGGGUACUGAGACACGGACCCAGGCCCUAUGGGGCGCAGCAGGCGAGAAAACUUUGCAAUGUGCGAAAGCACGACAAGGUUAAUCCGAGUGGUUUCUGCUAAAGAAACCUUUUGUCAGUCCUAGAAACACUGAUGAAUAAGGGGUGGGCAAGUUCUGGUGUCAGCCGCCGCGGUAAAACCAGCACCUCAAGUGGUCAGGAUGAUUAUUGGGCCUAAAGCAUCCGUAGCCGGCUCUGUAAGUUUUCGGUUAAAUCUGUACGCUCAACGUACAGGCUGCCGGGAAUACUGCAGAGCUAGGGAGUGGGAGAGGUAGACGGUACUCGGUAGGAAGGGGUAAAAUCCUUUGAUCUAUUGAUGACCACCUGUGGCGAAGGCGGUCUACCAGAACACGUCC